rnacentral:rRNA from 1 species
GACGAACGCUGGCGGCGUGCCUAACACAUGCAAGUCGAACGCUGAAGGAGGAGCUUGCUCUUCUGGAUGAGUUGCGAACGGGUGAGUAACGCGUAGGUAACCUGCCUGGUAGCGUGGGAUAACUUUAGGAAACGAUAGCUAAUACCGCAUAAGAGUAGAUGUUGCAUGACAUUUGCUUAAAAGUUGCAAUUGCAUCACUACCAGAUGCACCUGCGUUGUUUUAGCUUGUUGGUGGGGUAACGGCUCACCAAGGCGGCGAAACAUAGUCGAACGGAGAGGGGGGGUAGCCAAACUGGGAGGGGGACACGGCCCAGACGCCCUCGGGAAGGAGCAAGAGGGGAACGUGGGGAAGGGGUGGGAAUCUGAGCAAAAAAGGCCGAGGGAGUGAAGAAGGUCUUCGGGUCGUAAAGCUCUGUUUUAAGGGAAGAACGAGUGUGAGAGUGGAAAGUUCACACUGUGACGGUAUCUUACCAAGAAGCAACGGCUAACUACGUG